UACAGAGGUGGCAGGCGUUGUUCGGAAUUACUGGGCGUAAAGGGCGCGUAGGCGGCCUUGUAAGUCCUGUGUGAAAUCCCCCGGCUCAACUGGGGAACUGCACAGGAGACUGCUUGACUUGAGUUCGGGAGAGGGAAGCGGAAUUCCGGGUGUAGCGGUGAAAUGCGUAGAUAUCCGGAGGAACACCGGUGGCGAAGGCGGCUUCCUGGACCGACACUGACGCUGAGGCGCGAAAGCCAGGGGAGCAAACGGG
rnacentral:rRNA from 1 species